AUGUUUUAACAGAUGGUUGCUAAAUUUCUACAUAAAAUAGACCAUCACACAGCCUGGUACCAGACAGCCCCACCCUGACCUAGAGCAAAUGCUCGGGGCGCUCCCCUGGGCUUGAAACUUGCAGUAACAGGUGUGAACAUUCUAGUAGUAGUUUGAUGAUCAUGUAUGUUACUGCAAACAGGA
ensembl:snoRNA